rnacentral:rRNA from 1 species
GAUGAACGCUGGCGGCGUGCCUAAUACAUGCAAGUCGAGCGAACAGACGAGGAGCUUGCUCCUCUGACGUUAGCGGCGGACGGGUGAGUAACACGUGGAUAACCUACCUAUAAGACUGGGAUAACUUCGGGAAACCGGAGCUAAUACCGGAUAAUAUAUUGAACCGCAUGGUUCAAUAGUGAAAGACGGUUUUGCUGUCACUUAUAGAUGGAUCCGCGCCGCAUUAGCUAGUUGGUAAGGUAACGGCUUACCAAGGCAACGAUGCGUAGCCGACCUGAGAGGGUGAUCGGCCACACUGGAACUGAGACACGGUCCAGACUCCUACGGGAGGCAGCAGUAGGGAAUCUUCCGCAAUGGGCGAAAGCCUGACGGAGCAACGCCGCGUGAGUGAUGAAGGUCUUCUGAGCGUAAAACUCUGUUAUUAGGGAAGAACAAAUGUGUAAGUAACUAUGCACGUCUUGACGGUACCUAAUCAGAAAGCCACGGCUAACUACGUG